GAACAACGCUUGUAUUUAUCACCCGUCUCCCACGAUCAAAAUUAGCAACUAAAGAAAUAGUGGUGUGUGAUGAUGGCCUAGAAGAAUGUUAAUGCUUGGCAAGGAACAGCAAAGUUCGGGCAGAUGUUGCGGCCUGCUGAGUCAAAUGCUGUACAGGGAUGUUUUUUGACUUCUCAAAAGGAGAAGGUGGAUUAUAGAAUCAUAGCAUGGAAGGAUUGGAAGAAAAAUUGAAGAUCAACUAGUUCUUCUGGUCAGCUCAUCCAUCGACCAAGGUCAUAUUUUUCAUUCUGGAACAGUUCAUACCAUUAAGAAAUUAUCCUGAUGUCCAACCGAAAUGUACUUCCUUGUAAUUUAAAGCGAUUCUUCCUUGUCCUGUCUUCUGGAACAACUCUGAAUAUUUCCCUCCCAUCUUCUACAUCCCAGAGAUUCAGUGUUCCAUCCUCCCAUUUCCUCUACAACAACAACCCCCUGAGGUAGAUUGGGCUGAGAGAGGGUGGUUCGCCCAGAGCUUCAGUGGCUGAAGAUGGUUUAGAUCAUGGCUCUUAAUCCAAGACUUUCACCACUACACCACACUGACUCUUUGUAUAGCAGCACAGUUUCCUUCCCAAUCUGAACAACUCCCUGUCCUCUUCUCCAAAUUAUAAAUUUUAAAGUUAUAGUACUAAUAUUGUUGCAUACAACUAUACUUUCAUUAAUUAGUAAAACAUAACUAAGCUUGAAAAACUUCCCAAAGUUUCACAGCAACUUAUCAAAACUCAUGGUGGCAGCUGGGUGUCUCCAGCAACCUUUCCGUCGGUUUCACAAAAAAAGAACAGGGAGGACUGUCUGCUAAUUGUAUUUCCUGAAAUUUAUUUUGCGUAUAACUACAUAAACACACUGCAUAUAAAGUAAUCUGGAUAUGAAUCAGGAAGCAGACAAAGUGAAGGAAUCCCCAAAGAUGUUCACCAUGUAACUUCCAGCAUCAAACAAGACUCAACCAUUUUGCCUUAUUUAUUUUCCAAAUUGUAAUUUUAGUCAUCACCUUCAAGCUGCUGGACUCCAAGUGGCUGGAAAUUAUGCUGGCUUAAGAAAUCCCUUUGACCCCCUUCUUCUGUUUGGCUAUAGUGAUGGCCUGGUGUUCUGUCCAGACCACAUUGACUAUUGCCCCAGUUGGUGGGGUCCUCUGCUUUUUUACCUCUCCCACCCCUGCUGGGAAAACAGGGACAAAUAGCUUCUGUGAGAAGAUCUUUGGGGACACCUGGCAUCCAUUGAUGGAUCUCCUAUCCAGUCUGGUCCAUUGACUAGUAAAACAAUGAAAGGAUACACCACUCUUUUAGCAUGAUGGUGGUGACAUGCCAGCAGAAUCAAGUUAGGCAUUUUCUGAAUUUUUGACAGGCCAAGCCCAAAAGGUUCACCAUCACUGUCCUAAGCCAUGUUUUCUAGGUGACCUCCAACUCUUUGCAUUGUAUCUGUGAGUUACAGGCAGGCAGUGCUGUUGGAAUAAAAUGCUUGCUUAUCAGAAACUUGAUUCAGGCUUCUGCAGUGUGGCCAGGCCAGUGGCCGACACACGAACCAGAAACCUAGGAUGAGGGAAGGCACCAGAUAAUAAAAGCACCUAAAAGCACGAUAAGGCGAUCACUGCUUGA